rnacentral:lncRNA from 1 species
CCAAGCAAUUGUGGAUGGCUUGAGAGAUAGUGUGCUUGGAUUCUCAGUUAAUGUACCUGGGACAACUGCAAAAGAUGUCAUGGACAUGGUCCUUGUCACUCAGUAUUUUGACACUAUGAAAGAAAUUGGUGCUGCCUCUAAGUCUUCUGCUGUGUUCAUUCCACAUGGACCUGGUGCUGUUCGUGAUGUAGCUGGUCAAAUUCGGGAGGGACUUCUUCAGGCUUCUCAUCAGUAGCCUCUACUCCACCUAGAUCUUGUGUUUGGUUUGAAUUGGAGUAUGGUGAAGUUAUAGCACCUGUGUCUACCUGUAUUUCUGUUCUGUGCAGUGUGUUUUGUGAUUUUGUUUUAGAAUAAACUGCAAAAUUGAUCCUCC